rnacentral:rRNA from 1 species
AUUGAACGCUGGCGGCAUGCCUUACACAUGCAAGUCGAACGGCAGCACGGGGGCAAUCCUGGUGGCGAGUGGCGAACGGGUGAGUAAAGUAUCGGAACGUGCCCAGUCGUGGGGGAUAACAUAGCGAAAGUUACGCUAAUACCGCAUACGAUCUAUGGAUGAAAGCGGGGGAUCGCAAGACCUCGCGCGAUUGGAGCGGCCGAUAUCAGAUUAGGUAGUUGGUGGGGUAAAGGCCCACCAAGCCGACGAUCUGUAGCUGGUCUGAGAGGACGACCAGCCACACUGGGACUGAGACACGGCCCAGACUCCUACGGGAGGCAGCAGUGGGGAAUUUUGGACAAUGGGCGAAAGCCUGAUCAGCCAUGCCGCGUGCAGGAUGAAGGCCUUCGGGUUGUAAACUGCUUUUGUACGGAACGAAAAGGUUUGGCCUAAUAAGCUGAGCUCAUGACGGUACCGUAAGAAUAAGCACCGGCUAACUACGUGCCAGCCGCCGCAGUAA